UAUUAAAAGUUUCAUUCUUUUUUACUGUUAAAAAUUACUCUGUUCGUCAGCAGAAGGUACACGUGACAUGUCACGUAUCAUUAUUUGGUUAUUCUGUCAACAAAUGUAAUUUUUAACAGUAUAAAUGAGUGAAAUUUUUAAGA
rfam:Gossypium arboreum cultivar AKA8401 contig_2530_1, whole genome shotgun sequence.